rnacentral:piRNA from 1 species
UACAGAGUGGUCCAGAGCAGCCAGCUGGGA